UACGAAGGGGGCUAGCGUUGCUCGGAAUCACUGGGCGUAAAGGGUGCGUAGGCGGGUCUUUUAAGUCAGGGGUGAAAUCCUGGAGCUCAACUCCAGAACUGCCUUUGAUACUGAGGAUCUUGAGUUCGGGAGAGGUGAGUGGAACUGCGAGUGUAGGGGUGAAAUUCGUAGAUAUUCGCAAGAACACCAGUGGCGAAGGCGGCUCACUGGCCCGAUACUGACGCUGAGGCACGAAAGCGUGGGGAGCAAACAGG
rnacentral:rRNA from 1 species